rnacentral:lncRNA from 1 species
CAUUGUAUAAAUAGAGACAAUUAGCUCUAUUCAUUAGUAGUUUUGUACAUUCUUUUUCAAUAAUGAAAGAAGCUUCCAGAUAUUCUCUCUCAACCGACCUUCUUCCACCUUGAAACAAUGAUAAACUUUAUGUGAUUUUGAUUGAUUCUUUGCAUGUUAACAUGGUAUCAGAGCAGCGAUCUUGCUUGAUCUCGUUGUCCUCUCCUCUCCGGUAUUACCCGCUCCUGUUUUGACUGGGUUUUUUUUGGUCUCUGAAUAUGGUUAUUUUGCUGUUUUGGGGGUUUCUCUCGCUGUUUGAAGGAGCUCGUAAUUGCUAAAGUCAAUUGUUGUGUAUUCUUCACUCUAGAAGGCCGUGUUUUCCGGUUGCGAAAACUCCGGUAAUUUUGUUCUUUUCUCUCUGAUUUUGCGUGCUAGGGUUUGGGUGUGUGAUGUUUUGUGUUAAUCGCCUAUUUUUUCAUGGCUCCGACUGAUAAUGAUAUCAGCAGUACCUCUGGUUGUCGUGAACAGUCUGAAUUUAUCCCUAAGCCCUCAAGUCCUAUUUUUCUUCACUCUUCCGAUAUACCUGGUCUUUCCUUAGUUCCUGUACCUUUCUCAGGAUCUGGUUUUGGAGGAUGGAGAAGGAGCAUUAUUGUGUCAUUGUCUGGUAGAAAUAAAAUUGAAUUCAUCGAUGGUACCUUGCCUAGACCUUCCCCUAAUUCACCUGAGUCUAAGCAUUGGGAUAGAUGUAAUAACAAAGUAAUUUUCUGGUUAACUAGCUCUUUGUCUUUCAGUAUUGCUGAGAGUGUUCAGUACUCUGAGACAGCUGAAGACAUAUGGAAACAAUUAAAUAGAAGAUAUGAGACUAUAAAUGGGACUAAGGUUUUUGAGAUUAAGAAGGAACUAGCCUCCACUAACCAGGGUUCUCUCGACAUUGCCUCUUAUUUCAACAAGUUGAAGAAGUUAUGGGAUGAACUAAGAGUCAUGCGCACUUGUCAUGGUAGCACUUGUACCUCUGCUGUUAAGGCUGGUAUCCAGAAAGAGGAGGAAGAGGAUAGGCUGCAUCAGUUUCUCAUGGGUCUGAAUGACACUUAUAUCAGUGUCAGGAGUAAUCUUCUUAUGAUGCAGCCACCUCCUUCCUUGGACAGUGCAUAUAACAUUCUCCUUCAGGAUGAGAGACAAAGGCAGAUCAAUCCUUCCUCUCAAUUCAAUCCCGAGUCGACUUCUUUCAAUGUAACAUCCCUUAACCAUUCUUGACCAUUACAACCUCAAAAGCACUACUCUCAAAAAGUAUCUUUUGAUUCAAGUAGAGCAACUCAGUUUUGCAAAUAUUGUAAGAAGAGUGGUCAUUUAAUUGAAAAGUGCUAUAAGUUGCAUGGAUUCCCACCUGCUUUCAAGUUCACUAAUGGUAGGAAGAUGGCUGCAAAUGUUGAGGUUGACAUAUCCUCUAGCAAUGAGUCACAUGCCUCUGCACCUCCUAAUCAGAAUGAGGGUGGUUCUCUGGUACCUGGACUUACUAAGGAGCAGUAUGUUCAGCUCAUGUCUAUGUUGCAACACACUCUUGUGUCUGAAUCUCCUUCUUCUCAUACAAAUCUUAUGGCAUCUACAAAUUUUGCUGGUAAUGUUCCUUUGACUGCUUGUGUAGAAGUGCGUUACAGUGCAUCUCUGUUAAGUAGGGUAGCUGAAUAUAGUUGGAUUUUAGAUUCUGGAGCCACACAUCACAUGACUUCACACAAAGACCUUCUUUCUAACAUCCAACCUCUAGUUAUUCCUUAUCUUGUUACCCUUCCCAAUGGUUAUAAGGUGAAAGUAAAUUGCACAGGUUCUCUUAAAUUAUUUGCUUUUACUUUGCAUCAUGUCCUUUAUGUUUCCACUUUUCACUACAAUCUUAUUUUUGUUUCUCAGUUAGUCAUUCAACUUCAUGGCAUGGUUCAAUUUACUUCACUUUCAUGUAUCCUACAGGCCCCUUCACUGAAGAGUCCACUGGAAGUUAGUAAAUUGGAACAUGGACUUUACAGGCUUCUGAUGACUCCUCCUCAGUGUAGUAAUUCUGCUUCACACUGCUACACUUCAGUAUCUGAUAGUUUACCUUCUGUUUCCAGUGUUGUUUCACGUUGUAAAUGCCCAUUUAUUGUUUCUGAUUCUUCCUCUAUAUGCAUUCCAUCUACCAUGCAUUGUAAAAAUCAUUCUGGCAUCAAUAAAGAGGAAAUGUUAUGGCAUCAAAGAUUUGGUCACAUUCCUUUUGUUAGACUAAGAGACAUUUCUGGUAUCCCUUAUGUUUUCUCUUCAAAGCAAUCAUUUGUUUGUUCUAUUUGUCCUAUGGCUAGACAGUCCCGACUUCUUUUCCCUGAUAGUAGCAUUAAGUCAUCCCAUCCAUUUCAACUGAUUCAUGUUGACACAUGGGGGGGACCUUACUCUACUCCCACCUACAAUGGCUUUAAAUACUUUCUUACUAUAGUUGAUGACUUCUCUAGAGCAACUUGGACACAUCUUAUGGGUUCUAAAAACAAUGCAUUCCCCUUGCUUAAAGCACUUAUUGCAUUGGUCCAUACCCAAUUUUCUACCAAAGUUCAAUCUGUUAGGAGUGACAAUGCAUUAGAACUUGGUUCCAGUAAUCUUGCUACUCAAUUGUUUAGGGAUCAGGGGAUAAUACAUCAAAUUAGUUGCUCACAUACACCUCAGCAGAAUGGUGUAGUUGAAAGGAAGUAUAAAUAUCUGCUUGAAACUUCUAGGGGCCUACUUUUUUCAGUCCAAAUUACCUCUCAAAUUUUGGGGGGAGUGUGUCCUCACUUCUACCUAUCUUAUCAAUAGGUUUCCUUCCAAGCUCCUCCAGAAUAAAUCUCCUUUUGAACUACUCUAUGGUACUCCCCCUUCCUACUCACAUAUCAGAACAUUUGGCUGUCUCUGUUUUCAUACUAUUCCCAAAUGUCAUAAGAAUAAGUUGCAAGCUAGGGUCGAACCCUGUGUCUUCCUUAGGUACCCUCUUGGUAAGAAAGGCUACAAGUUGUUUAACCUUUCUACUAGGCAAGUCUUUGUUUCCAGGGAUGUCAUAUUCCAUGAACACCUCUUUCCUUUUGAUGCUUCUACACUUUCCUCUCUUGGUCCUUCACCUCCUAUUUUCUCUUCUCAUGUUCACUUCUCUCCUUCUAAUUCUUCCCCUGCUCAUUAUGAUUCUCCAAGUUCUCCUUCUGCUUCUAUUCCCUCUCUUAUUUCCUCUACCUUAGUUGCUCCUCAUGUCCAGACACCUUCUCCCCUUAUCCAACCUACUAUAAAAUCUGCUAGAACUCAUCAGCCUCCUGCUCAUCUUGCAGACUUUGUUUGUGACUUUCCUCCCUCCUUGGCUAGCUCCAGUUCUUUAUCCUCUAUAGUACAGUAUUUUGCUAAUAGUGCUGCCAUUGAGCCUCAAUUCUAUCAUCAAGUUGUUUCAAUUCCAGCUUGGCAAGAAACCAUGAAAAAGGAGUUUGAGGCUCUUGAAGCCAACAAUACUUGGAUGAUUGUUGAAUUACCUGAAGGUAAAAAACCUAUUGGCUGCAAAUGGGUAUAUAAAAUCAAAUAUCGAGCUGAUGGUAGUGUUGAAAGAUAUAAAGGUAGGUUAGUGGUAAGAGGAUAUACUCAAGUAGAGGGAGUGGAUUUUACUGAACCUUCUCUCCUGUUAUUAAAUUUUCCACUGUUAAAUGUCUGGUGGUUGUGGCAGUUAAGAAGAGGUGGUCUCUUUUCCAACUUGAUGUGAAUAAUGCUUUCUUGCAUGGUAAUCUAGAUGAGGAGGUCUACGUGAAAUUGCCUCCUGGUUUGUCUGUUUCUUCUUCUUCUUCUUCUUCCUCUCCUUUGGUAUGCAAGCUUCAAAAAUCUUUAUAUGGGCUUAGGCAGGCUUCUCGGCAGUGGUAUGCUAAGUUGUAUCUUGCCUUGUGCUCUAGGGGUUAAACACAUUCUUUGAAUGACUAUUCUCUAUUUUUCAAAAAAUAUGUCUCUUUUAUUAUGUUGUUGGUUGUCUGUGUUGUUGAUAUUAUUUUAACGGGUGAUGAUGAGGCUGAGAUACUUGCUUUAAAAGCCUUUUUGGAUGGUUAUUUUAAGAUCAAGGACUUGGGUACCUUGAAUUAUUUCCUGGGCAUUUAAGUGACCUAUUUCCCUUCUGGUUUACUUCUCCAUCAACAUAAGGUUAUCUCUGUUCAGUUCUGAGGCUGCCCAUGUUGUCUCUCCUUUGGAUCUCACUCAAAAACUUAAGGCUGGUGUUGGUGAUCUGUUACCUAAACUUGAACAGUUUCGGAGUUUGAUUGGAAAGCUCAAUUUCCUUACACACAUCAGACCUGACUUGUGCUUUGCAGUCCAGCACUUAAGCCAGUUUCUUCAAUCUCCGAGGCUUCCUCAUAUGGUUGUUGCUCUUCAUAUUCUGAGGUAUUUGAAAGGCACAUAUGACAUGGGGGUUUUCUUUGAAGACUCUUCUGAUUUGUCCCUAACUGCCUAUUGUGAUAGUGAUUGGGCAGCUUGCCCUGACACACGAAGAUCCGUUACUGGUUUUAGCAUUUUCUUGGGGGGUUCCCUCAUUGGUUGGAAGUCUAAGAAGCAACCAGUAGUUUCACUUUCUUCCGCAGAAGCCGAAUACAGUGCUGUUAGUAAAGUUGUUGCAGAGCUUGCUUAGGUUGCCCGCUUGCUUGAUGAUCUGCAUGUCUUUGUUGCUUCUCCUGUGCCUGCUUUUUGUGAUAAUCAGGCAGCUAUUCACAUUGCUCGCAAUCCUGUUUUCCAUGAACGCACUAUACACAUAGAAGUGGACUGCCACUUUGUCCGUACCAAACUUGCUGCUGGGGACAUUCAGUUGUUUCAUGUGCCUACUACGGCUCGACUUGUUCACCAAGCCCCUCACUAGUGGUAUCCAUCAUGGGUUGAUGUCCAAGUUGGGCGUUGUAUCCCCGUCCAACUUGCGGGAGGUGUUGACGUAAUGAUCUCCAGUCGGAAGCCCAAAUUCAAACCAGUUGAUCGAGGCCCAUUAUAGUGUAGUAGCAUAUCUUAUUUAUGUACCAAUAUAUUAGAGAGCCCAAUGUAAUUUUCUAUGAUUAAUAGUCUCGGGCCAGGUCCAUUGUAUAAAUAGAGACAAUUAGCUCUAUUCAGUAGUAGUUUUGUACAUUCUUUUUCAAUAAUAAAAGAAGCUUCUAGAUAUUCUCUCUCAACCGACUUUCAUCCACCUUGAAACAACGAUAAACUUUAUGUGAUUUUGAUCGAUUCUUUGCAUGUUAACAUAUGCUGUUGUAAAAAUUGUUCCUUUAAUAAUACACACUCUAAAAGUUAGUAGCAGUGAGGGUCGUUGACAAUGUUGAUUUUUAAGGUAGCAUUCUCUCUCGCGCGCGUUGUCUCUCCCUCUCUUACCAUUAUCAGCCACCACAUUAUUGCACGUGCCGCGAGACUAGUAUAACCAAAAUGUAUGUCGCAUAACCAAAAUGUAUGUCGCGAGACUAGUAUAACCAAAAUGUAUGUCGACUGAAGUCUUCUACCUAUUGAGUUUAGACCAGAUUGUGCGGCAAACAUUUCACAAAGCCUUUAAGAAUGAAGAAGAAACAAAACAUGCACAUUCACAAUACAGUAUUCAAAACAUAAACAAUUAGUUUAUUACUGAUACUAACAAGAACAUGAAACAUAAGUAUAAAUUACGAAUUAAAAAAGACUGCUUUUUAAAAACUCAUCGAUCAUGUCUUCUUGGGACGAUAACUUGAAAACGUCAUCACUUAAACUUUUUGCAUCUUUAAUCAUUGCUACUGAGUCGCUUAAACGUGGCGACACUUCCUCAAACAACUUGGAAUUUUUGUAUGGACAAUUUGGCGGUAUCUUUUUCUCCAAAAUUUUAUAGACCUCCCAAAAUCCAUAAUCAUUCCCGAAAUCAAACGACACACAUUUAUUAGCACUUCGAAAUUCAGUAGCCGCCACAUGUUCUGUAGUUUCUGUCAAUUUAUUGUUCGCGGCGGCAAAAUAUGUCAGCCGCAGAUUCUUGAUAUUCUCCUCAACUUUUGCCGCCGAUAAACUUUUGAACUGAGGAUUGUUCUGAUCUGGUAAAUAACUUGGGAAUUCAAGUGGCGGAUCGUUCUUGAAUGGGAGAUGACGUUUCUUGAAGAAAAGCACUGCUCCCGUCCUUCUCUGUCUAACAACUCCUAAAGUUGGAGUUUGAGUUGCCAUUAGGAGAAGAUAUGUAAAUUACCUUUUUACAUGGCCAAUGGGGUAUUAUAUAGUUUUACAUAUAUACUUACUGGUGUUUUGUUGCUCAAAUCCGAUCCGCCCCCUUGUACACGAUUUGAGUAUGGAUUUAGUCGACCUUACUUUACUUUAAUUACAGAUAUAUUCAACAAGUAUAGUCGUAUAUGUUGAUUGGGUAUUUAAUUAUUUUGGGUAUAUAUAUGUCCUAUAUAUAUUCUCAUUAGUACUAGAACGCGUCGCAUUAUACGAAAUAACUUGUAAAUAAAAUGUAAGUGUAUACAAAGAUCAGUUUAAUUGUACUACUACUAAUUUUAUACCUUCAAAUAUUUAUCACAAUAUAUACUUAAAUGUGUCGUAUUGAUUGUAUCUUAACACAAAUAGUCAUACUUCUAUACGUAUUCCCGAAUUCUAAGAUACAGGUAAUAAGAAUUUGAUUUUAGAUCUACACUCUAUAGGAUGUCGAUACCCGUGUCCCAGCAACAGAGGAAUGUUGCUGGUUUUAAAUCUGGAUAAAGAAGAAAAAUUAUGGGUAAAAUUAGUUAAUUUAUAAUGAAUCGUGUUUUUAGAUCAUUAUUCUAUCCAUAACUUAUUUUUCUUCCUUUUCAAUCAUUAAGAAACUUUAGUAUGUACUAUAUGUGAAUACAAGUAAAACCGUAAGAAUUCUUCCAAUUAAUAAAAUCAUAGCAAAGAUUACUAACUUACCAGAGACUUACACAACACAAGAUGUUUUCAAUGAGUUUGGCUUCAUCCAAAAAAACAUGGAAUCUCUCUCUCUCUCUCUCUCUCUCUCUCUCUCUCUCUCUCUCUCUCUCUCUCUCUCAAAUGGGCGAUAUGCUGUCUGGGGUCGCCCUUUCAUAUGGAAUACGGCUUUUAAGUGACCUAGAAAUUCUUGGGAUGGAUCACCUUACUAAACUCUGAUUAUGUUUGUUAUCAUGUCUUUUAAAUUGUAAAACAUCAUAUAUCUUUCCUAUCAAUAAAUUAGUUAGUCAAUAAGUGUCUUUUAAAGUUUAAGGGGAAAAAGGGGAAUGCAUUUCCAUUUAAUGUUAUGAUGAAUAGUUUUGUUUUUUGUUUUUAAGCUUUAGAAGAGAUUAUGUAUCUAUUUAAAAUCCUAAAUUAGUUGGCGUAAAAGAGUUCUAACUUGCUGAAAUUUGGCUGAAGAAAACUAUCCGUUACAACAUGAACCAAAUUUUUUUGGGAACAUUUUCUCCAAUACAGGAAACAUAUUCUUAAAUUUGCACAAUGUAGCUUAAUGGCCAGCUUUCUACCAAGCGAAGGUGCAAAUAAUCUACACUGAUAACUGGAUUCUACACAGAAACAAUUAAUUAGUGAUAAUAACAAGAAUGAAAAUAAGACCAUGGGUUCAACUGAAAUCACUUUCUGCUUAAAUUAUGUAUGCAUACAAUAAUUACAACAAUCACGUUUUUAUCCCAAGCAAGUUGGAAUCAGCUAAACGACAAAUUAUGUAUGCAUAGGCAAUUAAAAAAUAAAAAAAAUCAAGAUAACAUUAUUGUGAAUCCUAGAUCCAGGAUUGGCCUCUAAAUUUAAGUAACAAUAAUCAAAAAAGAUCUUUUUGCUGAAACUCAUCGAGCAUAUCUUCUAGAGACGACAAGGUGAAGACAUCUUCGCUUAAACGUUCCUCUUGGGCCGAAAAUUUAGAUUUUGCUUUGUAUGAAGGAAUCAUUUUAUUCAAGAUUUGUAAGGGGUGUUGAAAUCCAUAAUCAUUUCCGAAAUAGAACAACACAUGUUCAUCAGCCGCCAUUCUAUGUUCUUUAGUUUCUGUCACGUUAUUCUUCAUAUCUGUCCGCUGCAGAUUCUUUAUUAUACCCUCAACUUUUGGUAAAGUUGGGAAAUCAACAAGAGGAUCGUUCUUGAAAGGGGGACGAGGUUUCUUGUAGAACAGUACUGCUCCUGUUCUUCUAUGUCUUACAACUUCUAAAGCUGAACUACAGCUCGACAUGAGAACUCAACUCGAUUUGUGCAAAUAACUUUUUUACGUGCCUAACGCGGUUGUAUAUAUAUAUAUAUAUAGUUGUGCACUGGUGUUAUAUGUUACCUAGAAGCCUACCAAAUUGGAUUCCUGUUUAAGCCGAAGUUCCGAAAUUGUAGGGACAUAACAAGCCUCGUCAUAAACUAAUGAACCCUACUAGGAUAGGUGAUUUCUUUGAGCAAGUGUGAAAUGAAUCAUGUUUCCUCUUAAACAUCAUUUGUCUGUUUAAAGCUAUAUUCCAUUUGAAUAAUGCUACUCUUGUUUUUAUGUUAAGCACUCCUUUAAAGAUAUUGCUCACAUUAAAAUUAUUAUUGCUUAAAAUUAAUCUGCUCCAUAAUUACCCAACAUUAUUAUAAUUUUUGAAUGGAUUUAAUACAAAAUUUAGUAAUCAAAUCGGAUAGUUAAUUCUAUUCACCUGAUUUUCUCAAGAGGAAGAAACGCGAAUACAUUAGAGUGAUAUGACGAUAUCGCGGAAAACUCUACGCAGAUUACGGAAGUAUUACUUGUACAUUUUCUCAUGGGUGGAUUUUCUAUUUUUCAAACUGAGAAAAUAAGCGAGAUAGUUCACAUUCUGUUGUCCUAUUGGUUGCAGCUGCAGACUCCUUAGUCACUAGUAUUUGGCUACCGUGAACCUUUAAUACUAUUAUUGUGAAUUUACUGACAAAGUUCACUUUAUAACUCAAACUAUUAGACUUUGAUUUAGGUGUGAGAAGGAUGUCCCAUCCAAAGGACAUCAUGUACCGCAUGUUUUAAUGAAAUGGACACUGGAGUAAUAGAUUGAGUUGGUGUAAACACUCUGUGCAGGAAAAUAUUUACCCCGAAAGCAAAUUAGGACAAACCUUUCAUAUGUGGUUCUCCUUAUUCAUCAGAGAAUAAAUUCAAUUCGGGGCUCUGGGAGAAUCGAGGAGCAGGAGUUAUUUGAUAAGAUUCGUGCUCGGAAAAAUGCUAGACCAGUAAAUCUCCUAUAUCAUUUGUAAAGCUAAGGAUAUGUAAACGUUUUCUUCUACUGUUGGCAAAUUCAUUACAUUUCUUGGAUAUAAAGAAUGAAAUAAAUUGCAAAAUCUCAUCCAGAUAAUGGGAAAGCUUAAGUGAAAAAUCAAAAAAUGGACAAUGUAGUCUACUGCACAACAUACAAAAAACUUCUUUCCAUUUUUACUUCCCUGCAAAAGGAAAGAGCCAUAAUCAUUGACUUGGGGGAGUAUCCUCGGUGCCCUUUGCUUUUCCCCUGAGCAUGUCCGAAAAACCACCUCUCAUGAUCCGCCUAAAUCGUGUGUCUUCUACCACUGCUGCAGUUGGUGCAAUGGGCUUCAGAGGUUCAACAACUUCCACUGAUGGUGGAGACGCAUCUCCAGUUUCCCUUUUCCCUAAUAAACCACCUUCACCAAAGAAGCUGCUUACUGAUGAUGCAAUUCCCAGAUGAGCACCCAUUACCUUACUAAUCGUAUCAAACGUGCCACCAGAUCUUUCCCUCAUUAUAAUCUCCAGAGCUUCUUUGUGUGCUGGAUCAAGGGAAUCAGCAUCUUUUAACAGAUUUUGAAUUGCCGGUAGAAGGAAAUCUCUGACACUAGAAGCAGAAAGAUCUGCAAUAAAACAAUCAUAAACUGAGCAUAGGAAGAUUCUAAUGAAAAGGUCAUGUAAAAUGCUAAGAUACAGGGGAUGAAAAGCAGGACAAAGUCACAGAGUGCAAAAUUUAGGCUUUGAUAGCACAUGUAGUUACAUUUUGUAUGUCAAAGACUAUACAAUAGGCAACCAGAGGAAGAGAGAUCAAUAGGAGAACUUGUCCUUAGACCUUCCGCAUAUCAUCUCUGACAUUAGAUACAUCAGUUAAACCACAGAGAGAUUAUAUAUUGAAUGCUUCGGUGUUUCUUCUUCUUUCACUUUGUUUCUCCUUUCCUGUGUUUAGUUUUCAGGGUGCUGGCAGACUUAGUUCGGUAGAGACAGUCCGAGUAUCUAUAGAAAUCAAAUAUCAUUCAAUUUUUCAGAAGUUCUUUGGAGUCAUAUUUCUAUCAACCCUCCUUAGGUCCGGAAGGUAACUGGAGGUCUCUUUCACUCAUUUGAGAGUUUCCUAGGUUUCACUUAACUAUCUUAGGACAUGUCUGUCAUGCACUUGCUAUUGACAUGAACAAGAAAAUGAAUCACGCUAAACCUAAUAAAUUACAACCUAUCGCUUUUUUACUUCAGCGUGUAUUUAGGUACAAAUUGGGCCAUUUGUCAGGUAAUUCCUCUGGAUGGCACAAAACUCCAUAAGAUCUACUUUGAUCAACCACUAAAGAUAAAGGUAGUUUACAACAAAUAUAUCAGAAAAUUAACCCCCAGUAUCAGUCCAUCGUGUUACAUAUUUUUUCGUACUUUGCUACAUCUUUCAAAGCAGCUAACCUAGAGGCAAUCAUCUCGAAUAAACAUAUACCAACAGAAAGUAAAGAGAGUUAUGAAGGAGAAGAAGAGAAGAAUAUCUAAAAGGAGCAAACCAGUAGCAUCAAGAGCACGAAUUGAUUCACAAAACGCGUCCGCUCUCUCACGGCGACGUCUCACGUCACUUGAAGGAGGAGGUGUUGCUGUAAGUAGGAAAAUCUUGGACAACAGAUGUAUCAUAAGUUAAAGAAAGCUAAUGAGAAAUAGAAAUUGAACUAGUGCUUUGGCACACGUUAUAAGAAUGUAUCUACUUCAAGAGUGCAUAAAAGCUGAAGUAAAAGAUUGAGGAUAUAAUCUCUUAAUCUCUCCGUCGUAUGUGGCACUGCCAUCACCAAUGCACGAACUACAGCUAUUGUAGCUUCAUGUGAUCCAUCCUCAAGAAAAGCAUCCAUUUGAACACGUAUUUUGUCAACAAUCUAACAAGACGGUUAGAAGAGCCGGUCUCAUCAAAGCCUCUAUAGAUCAACAUAGAAUAAGAAUGACACCAGAUAUUUAAAAAGAAACCUUUCCAUACCGCAUCAUUUUUAAACUGCUGUGCUACAGCUCCAAAAGCAUCAAUGCUGGCGUAUUUCACAUUCAAGUUUUGGUCAGAACCAAGAGUUACUAGAGCAGGCAAAACAUGAGUUGAGGCGACCUUGGCAUCAAUACAUGGAACCUGGUGAAGUUUCAAAUAUGGUACAAAGAAUGUUACGACAACGCUUAAAUUAUUAUUAUAUUUUUUUUGAGAAAGACAGGAAUUGACAUAAUCCCAAGAAAAACCAAAGGACUUACAAUGACUUUAAAAAGAUUGGCAGCGGUUGUCUUCAUGUUUAUGUCAGAGCUCACAACCAUUUCCCAGAGGAUGUUAAAAAUCAUAUUGUGAUGUUCAUCAAUGGUGCUGCAGGAAAAGAGAGUCUAGCCAUCAUCUAAGGAGUUCAGACACAGGACUGUAAUGAUUAACUUGUUAAAUGGCACAAACCAAAGGAAGCGAACAGAAUUGAAAAUCUCGCGCUUCACUGGCUGACUCUCUCGCUCUGAAGUUUGAAUCAAGAGAUUUCUCAAGUACUCUGUCAAUAGUUCAUGCUUUCUAGGGGAUCCUAAAACACCUGCAAGCAGAAGAGGCAGGACGCAGAUGGCAGCAAGUCUUUCAGCUACAGCAGUUUUUGGUUUUAAACCUGUUGAAGAGUAAAUCAACACCAAUUUGAAAAGGUUUGAACAUGAUGUAUGACUUAAAGGUUAAUAAUCAGAAAGUUUUUAACUCAUUACCUCUUAUUCUUGAUUGGCGUGUUGCAGGGAAGUAUGAUAAAUCACCAUUGUCACCAACUGCUACCAAGAAUAUAGGUAGCAUGAUGUGUGUCAGGUAAGGUUCCCCAAGCAGGACUGAAACGGCCAAUAAAAACUGCAUUGCCAAAUUAAAGACGAAUUCGGGAAACAAGAACGCAUUUUCAAACCUAAACCACCAAAACUCAUGUCAAACAAUUCAAGCUACCUGUGUGAUUCGAUUCCUUAAAUUAUCUUCCUUCUGAGGCAAUAGAGAGGCCAGUUCAAUCAAUGCUGAAAAGCAAUCAAUAUGCAACCACUCAAAAGAAGGCCAAUCCAUCUUUCCUCUGCACAUACAAUUCAAAUAUGUAGCAAGUAUUAGCUACACAUGAGAGUACCUUUGCAGAAGAAAGUAUAGAAAGGUAGGUUAAAAACGCAGGCAAAAGGGAAUAUUACCCUGCAUACUGUUCAAGUAGUGAAGUAGAAAAAACUAGUCCUUUGUCAUCUGAAAUCAAAGGGAAUGGACAGGUCUCAAUAGCUUUCUUGAGCACAAAUGGAAGCAACUCUAUUAGUAAGCGCAACAAAACGUCUAUGUUCCACCGCUCUCUCUCUCCUAAAGCACGAAGAUGUGACUCAACAGAACCUUCAACCCCUGAAAGAGGUUGACAACGCUGGGAAAAAAAUAUAUGUAUCAGAUCCAUGUCUAAGGCAAGUUACUACUUCAGUGAGAAACAAAAUAAAUGUAGAAUACAUACCUGACCAGAGCCCAAUGCAUGAGAUAAUAAAACUUGUAGCAAAUGAUCCAACUCCUUUCCCCAGUUUACUAAAGCUGGAACAACUUCCUUGAUUGUUGUAUCCACAACCACUCCAGAUGGAUCACACGCCAAUUGAAACAUCAUCUCCUCAACCUGUACACACACACACAAAAAAAAAAGAGGAAUUGGAGAACUUCCAAUUAUGUUUAUCUUAUCAUUUAAUCAGUUUCGGCAAUCACACUAAGACCAGCAGAAAAUGCUCCCUUCCUAGACCACGGAGCUUACUUUGUAGGAAAUUCUGUCAAGUCAGAUUUCUUCUCCGUGAUUGCCUCGAAGCUUAUGUAGUGAAGCUGACCUUGAAAUAUUUGUCCGUAUUUGGGAAGAGAGGCAGAAGCAAUGCCAAGUUAUGAGCAGCAGCCUCCCGAACAACAGUUGCAGGAUCCUCGAUCAGCUGUUGCACAAUAGACAAGAUAAGAGAAUCUCGAAUCUCAGGGCGCACGAAUUCAGCAAGCUCUCCACAUGAUUGAGCAACUAGCAAGCGGCGCUCCUCAUACAUGUGAUUGAUCUACAUUUCACAAUAUAACAGUAAGAGCAGUUGCAAGAGUUGAUGGAAAAUAUGGUAAAAUCAUGAGAGCAUCCAGCAUAUAUAAUAAUUCACCUGUUCCCAACACUGAGGAAGAAGUUCAGUUUCCGUUCUCAUCUCUCCAACAUUUCUGGCAAGGGUGACACAAGCCUAAACGUGAUAACAAAAUUGGUGGCAUGCUCAACUUUAAGAAAAAAAAUCCAUUAUGAAUUAAUAGUUUUGACAAUCUUACAUCCAUUAUAAUCCGUCUCUGUUCUUCAUCAGGACGUUUGAUUAAGUUGAAUAAUGUAUGAGUCAAGGAGUCCCGCGUACUGCUAUCUGGGUGGCGCUCAAUUGCACACAUUAUAAGAGGAAGAAGCUCCUGCAGAGACAACACCAAUCAAGUGGAAUGACAGCUAAUUAGACAAAAAGAUUUGCAGAUCCCUCAAGGUUGCUGAAGAAUAUUUUGGAAGCCAUUGAAACAACAUUUUGAAAAAGGUUUGAAAAAGAAAAGUUCGUGGAAGCCGAAGAUAUAUUGGGAUAGUUGUAGCUUUUUUGAAGAUUUUUAAGUGUUUUGUCAGUGGAAAGAGAGUUUUCAAUGAAAAGCACCCUUCAAGCACUUCUUCAUUUGAAAACGCCUUUGAAAAAACUUUUUAAGAUCAUGUUUGUCAAGAAAAGUUUCAAAACUUGAAAAGAUUUUCUCAAACAAAAGCCUCCUAAAUAAGAUAAGAACAUCAGACUUCAGAAGCAUGAUUUUGAAUAAUAACAAAUGGCAAAACACACCUCUCUGUGGUUGAUCAAAACAUAAGGUACAAUUUUUGGCAAUGCAUCUGAAAGGAUCUGAAUAGUCCCCAAACCCUGCGAAAUCCAAAAAGUUUGACGUAUAAUUGCCAAGCGAAAACGUUACCAAGCAAAAGCCAUCAUGUAUACAUAUGAGAGAGAGCUUACGAUCUUUUCAGCAUUUGAUUCGACAAAUAAAUUGUCUGGUUUCAAGAUUAGUCCUUUAGCCUCUGAAGGUAGCUCACCAUUGUGUGCGAGUACAUUCUCGACUUUCUCAACAAUGCCGUUAUCAUUUGAAGCUUCCACUACUUCCUCAGGUUUGGUAAUUGUGUCAGCAGAGGUUUGAGCCAUCAAUAACUGAGAAUUGGCAUUUCCUAAAUCCCCAGAAGAGAUGCCAGCUGAAUCGUCAAAGACAUUAUGCUCACUUGAUUCUCCAACUUCAUUUUCAGGACCUGUAUUUCUAGUUUCUUCAUUGUUAUCUUCAAGAGACUCACUGUUCAAGGAAUCAUUUGCCAAUUUCAACCUCUGGAUCUCAUUCUGUAGGAACUUCAUCUCUUCCUUAUAACUAUCUAUUGAUGGCAGGUUCGCAACAUCUUCAGAAUCGCUUGUUACAAAAUUACGCGCAGAACGAGCACCCUCUAUAUGCAUUUUUAAUGAAGUUAUUUCAGCUCUGCAUUCAUUCAAUUCUUGUCUUUGCCUAUCUAGAGAUUGCUUCAAGGUUUGAACCUAAAGUACAUCAUUCAAGUAUGAGGUAUGUACAUGCUACACAGGAAAAUCUUGUAAAACAUAAAACAUAACAAAGAAACUACCAGAAUCUCCUUGUCCUUCAUUUCCUUCUGCAAUGCCUCCAAAGAUUUUGUCACUACUGUGACUUGGGCCUCUGCCAUAUCUUUACUCCUAAGCAAGGACUGCUUUUCAUGUUUCAGCUUGUCUUUUUCUUUCACCAAAUACUCAUUUUCUCUAAGCAUAGCAAUUUUUUCCUGCAAAAAAGCCACGAUUCUUUUUAUAAAAUAGCACACCACAAUAAAGCUCCAUCCACAUAUAUUUACAGUUUUCAGCAAGUAAAUGAGAAAUUUGAUCUAGUCAGUUCCGUACUUGACUGGUACCACAAGCUUUAAGACAUUUGAUAGAAAAUCACCAAGUAAAUCAUGCUUUUUCAGAAGAGCAGUCAUAAGUGAACAUUAAUGCUUAUCUAGAAUAGGUGACUCUUCUUCUCUCUAAGACUCCGGAAACUCAUAAAACUAAUUCCCACGAUCUCUCAAACAUAACUCUGGAGCUAAUCAGGUGGGUUUAGGUGGUUUGAUUCACAGUAAAUCAGCCCUGGAUACGGCAAAGAGAACUGUAGAUUUACAAGCCUUGUUAUUCAAGAAGCUGCAGUUAUUCAAACAAAACAAACUGAAAUUACUGCAGUGACAAAUUUCUAUGCCUUUUGAGUUACACUUGUAGUCUGAAAAUGGAAUCAUAACUCAAAAAAAAAAAAGGAAAAGAGAUAAGUUAAAUAUUAGACUAAUCUUAAAUCUGAAGGCAUACAAAUUUGACACCAAACAUUAUCUGAAGGACUCAAAUAGCAGACAAGAUAAAUGGAACUACAAACAAAAUCUGUCUGGAUGAAACUAAGGUAUGAACUGGCCAUGAGGAACAUAGAACAAAGAGCAGCAUAGAGCAUAAACAAAACCAGGACUUGCAAGGAAAAAUAUUAAUACCUGAAUACACUAUGAACAACUGGGUGGACGUAUUGUUCUUGCAGAAUUAAAUCACGAGAAAUUGAGAAUUAUAAUUGCCGGAAGAAGAAAGAAUAUAGUAUAUCAGUUACAACUUGUAGUUAACCUAGCUUGACUAUACAAGAUGCAAAGUUAUCCACAUGACAUGAUUAACGUAGGUUUCCUACAGGCAAUUCGGGAUAAGCAUACAUGUAUAAAACUUGUCCAUACUAUCAACAGUUGAGAAAGUACCUCAGCAGCCUCUGAGGUGGAAGAAAGGUACUGGUAAUAGUAAUGGCGCAAAGCAUCUGGAACGCCUGCGGAGGAGUUCUGCUGAACAUCUAGAUCUUGAUCAGUAACCUGUCAUACAUAUUAAAGAAGUUAUGAAGACUUCCAAAAUGACAUGUUGGCAGAGCGCACAGGACAGAUGCAUGUGUCUCACACCUUAAUUCUUCUAUGGUUAAGGCCCUCUGCCUAGUAAGUGCAUAAAAUAGAUGAGUGGUAAUACAUGAAAGGCCUCUGAAAGAUGAAGAUAAAAUAAUAGAAAACACAUUACACAUUUCAAACCGUGCCAGAAUACCUUUUUUUUUCCUUUUGGUGUGUGUCAAAUCCUACCCCUCCGCCUAAACUCCUCUUCCCAGGAGCCGAACAGUGGGCUUUUCCCACUUUGCUCCCUGGGUGGCUUAAACCCCAAACUAAUGGAAGGAGAUGGAGGCCCUUUCCUGAAUUACCAAGUUUAUAAACCAAGCUUUAGCUCAUUCCAGCAUGAGAUUUCCAUGGACUGGCAUUCAGAAGAUGCUACGAAGAAUUUUUGAGUAGUAACCAAAAUUUUGAACAUUGACAAAACAGCUAUCUUACUGGAAUUCUGUCCCAAAAAUGCUUUUAAUUACCUCUAACCCAGAAUUUCUAAAGAUUGCUCCAUCUUCUGAGAUAACCAACGAGUUGAGAUCAAGGUUCACUGAAUAUUUCACAGUUGAAUGAAAAGUGUGUGGUCUUUAGUACACAAGGAAUAAAUUUUCCUUAUCUGAUUACAGAAUGAACUCUUGCCUCUACAUUUUUCUCAUAUUGAUAAAGAAAUGGACCUUGGGUCUAACUCAACCCCAAAGUUAGCUCAAGCGGUGAGGAUUGCCCAAGACCAUAUAAAGAGACCAAACACCCCCACCCAUAGCCGAUGUGGGACAUUAACCCCCCCGCACGCCUAGGACUGGACAUCUAGAGCGGGAACAAUAUAAGAUGGGCGCCCAACAUCGGAUGAAACGAGAAUUAGGUGGGCCUGGCUAUGAUACCAUGAUAAAGAAAUGGACCUUGGGCCUAACUCAACCCCAAAAGUUAGCUCAAGAGGUGAGGAUUGCCCAAGACUAUAUAAAGAGACCAAACACCCACACAUAGCCGAUGUGGGACACUAACACAUCUUGCAGAAUUCCAACUCCUCAACAAUCUAAUCCCUAAAGCAUUUCCAACAACAUCCCAUAUCUCAUUGGACACGUAAGCAUGGAUAUAACAUAAAGAGUUAAGCGCUCUCUCUCUCUCUCUCUCUCUCUCUCUCUCUCUCUCUGUGUAGCUACUGGUGUGGAACUAAAAGAUUGAAGCCAAUGCCCUCUGGUCCUCAUUUUCUCUAAUCACACAAUCUGCGAAAGCAAAACAUAGAUCCUAGAGACCAAGCGAAUUAAGAGGGGAGUGGUCUAAGAAAUUCCUCAGUCAGAGAAAGAUCUGCUUUUCCUCUUUUUAGCCAAGAGUUUCACUGAAAGCAUCAUACACAAUAAUGAAUUAAUGAAUAAAUUUUCUUUGCUCGGAUUAAAAUUAAGAGGAGUUACCAAUCUUCUAGGGUCUGGCAUUUGACCUGGUGUUUAUUCUUCUUUUGAUAAAUGAUCUGGUGUAUGAUUAGUUCCACGGGAAGUAAUCAUACACAAUAAUGAUUAAACUUUCUUUGCUCGGAUUAAUUAUAAAAGGAGUUACCGAUCUUCUAGGGUCUGGCAUUCGACUUAGUGUUUUUCUUCUUUUGAUAAAUGAUCUGGUGAUCUGGUGUAUGUUCUUAUUCUAUUUAAUAAUAUCUACUUGAGUUUCUUUAUCAAAACAAAAAAACAUUUACUUGAGUUCCACAGGGAUAAAAUGGAUGAACAAGUAACUUGUUGUUCUCAAUCACGUACACCUGUUGCUCUUAAUUCUUAAGGUUCUUUUAAUCUUUUUGGUUAACCUUUGAGAAUGUGGAAGAGGAGCCUUGUGCAUGGUAAGAGUUGUUAUCAUGUGACCAGGAGGUCAAGGUUUCAAGAUGUAUGAAUAACAAGGUAAGGUUGUGUACAUAAGACAAAAUGUGGUCUAGCCCUUCCCCCACCCCCACAUAGAGGGAGCUUAGCUCACCGGGCUCCCAGUGCACUAGAAGGAUCUAUGGAAUAAUUCAGAUUAUCUUUUGGCAGUUCUACUUCUAUCAUAGAAGUGGUAUUCAUCAUAUUAUUAUGUGACAUUUUAAGUUAAAACUUAACUUAUGCCUGGUUCGAUAGCCGGAAGCAAAGGUGAUUACAAAGUUAAUUUUAAUCUCUAUGUAAUCGCAGUCUGAAUAAAUAAAAUUAAACAAAAGGAAAUAUGGUGCUUAUAUAAAACCAAUCAUUUUACCUUCCUAUCUUGGGAAGCUUUGAUUAUCUUGGCAUCUUUUCAUAGCCAAUCAGUUAUUUCCCUUGUAAUUGUGAGAUAUAACAUCGUCUACACCUAACAAAGUGUUGGUUGGUGCAUUGGUUAGGUGGUAGGUGGAAUGGUGGCCUAGUCUUUGUGGUCACGAGUUCAGUUCCAGCCUUCGGCAAAAAAAACAUUAUCUACAUCUAAGUGGUAGUCCCCUAGACCAGCAAAUUUUAACUUAUUUUUAUACCUUUACUGGAAAAAAAAAAGUGAAAAUUCUAUCUUCUGAGAGAAGUUUUCAAUAAAUUCUACCCAAUUAUCUAUACAUGUUGGAAUAUUAUGUGUGCUCCAAAAUAAACCUAAAGAAAAUCUGGUCAGCCGAAUUCUAAGGCAAGCCCCUGGGGAUAUAGCCAGUUGUAUUUAAAAGGUCACAGUUCUACUUACUAUCUUCACAUUUAACAUAAAUGCAGGAAAGAGGCCACACUACUUGAAGGUCUGCCGAGAACAUGUAAUUUGGAUGAUCGUUUCUAAGUUAACUAGAGUUUGAUUGGUACUUGUAUUUCAUUGAGACGUCAACUGCAGCAUAUAUGUUUAACAUAAAUGAAGCUCCAAAUAUUUUAGGUCCUCCGCAGAUAAUAAACCAAAAAGGUGGAAAGAAGGAACAAGAAGAUGUAGAUAACUAAAAAUACAGCUCUGUGACAUAAUGUAGAUAAAUGCAACCUCCUUCAGUAGUGUGAUGAACAUCAAGAAAUAAGCAAGUUGUCUUCAUAUCAGUUACCUCCUCCAAAAAUGUCAUUGCAGUCAAGCGAUAUCCUGCUAAUAGUAAAUACUCCUUUACAGCACAGUUCAAAUCCCUCCGCUCAUUAUCCUUCAAAGGACCCAAAUCAGAGAAAGAACCUUCCCUCUUCUGCUGCUGAAAAUCAGUUCCAUGGUUUUCCGAAGCAUCUAUCUUUGAAUCUGCACAAUGAAGAAACAGAUAAAUUCGCAUGAACAAAAUGAUCAUACUGAAUGAAACAAAAUAUAACCCAUAUCUAAAGCAGAAACACUGGCCCUAGGCCUCCUGUCACACACAAAAGCCUAGUAUUUAAGUGGAGAAGGCGAGCCCAUCAUCCACCAAAUUUCAAACCGUGUGCCAGCUGGCCCCUGGGGAUUUCUCGGUUAACAAAAAGUAAUAUUUAAAGCAUAACCACCAGUCCUUCAAGAAACUACUUUAGGUUCAGACAUGACAAGCCUACAGUUUAUCCUGGCAUCCAUUCUAAAUCUGCCUAAUCAUACAACUUCACUGAGAAACAGAAUAUCCAGGCUAAACUAGGAUUCGCAGUUCCAAGAACAUUAUCAGAAUGAACGAGCUAAAGCUAACAAAGUCACAAUCAGAAGAGGCAGCGAAAGUGCAAAACAGUUUCAGGGAUGUACCACUUGUUUGACGAGGAAAAGUCUGACUUUUCUUUUGCAACUCGGUCUUAAGUUGCACAAUGUCCUCUUUAGCCAAACGGAACUCAUAUUCACAGAGCGCCAACUUUUCUUCCAGGGCUUCUUUUUCUUCAAGCAAACUUUGGGGAUCUGCAACUGCUUUGAUAAAUGAAUAGUUACUAUUCAUAUAAAAAAAAUAUAUGAGCCUGCAACUAAAAAGCUGAUUCAAACAAUCAGGCAAUUGAUCGUCCUGCAUAAUGAACUAAGGACCAUGAGCAAAAUUAAAGUAAAGUUGUAGUUAUUACAACUGAACACUGGCCAAAAUGAAAAAGAACAAAUUACUUGAUAUUAAUCAACUUAUUUCAGAUACUCCCUUUGCUCUUAUAUACCAUGAAAUUCCUCAGUCGUAACACAAGAAAACUCAACUUCAUAACCUAAUCUUAACGGAUUGAUUCGCUCGAUUUUGCUAAAUAUUUAUCGCAAUAAAUUCCAAAUGCAGAAAAUGUGCAUAAACACAGCGGAUUUUAUUGAUAUGUGCGUUUAGCAAAUAAAGGCAAGGUAGAGAAGCGGCAAACCUCUGAGGGAAUUGAAGCGGGAGAUCUGAUCGGGAGGGAAUUGCGAAGGAUCGGAGAAAAACUGUUUGAGACGAAUUGCUUGAUCGUCACGGCCAUCAUCUAGAAGCUCGUGAAGAAGCUCGAAUGCCGUUAACAAGUAGUUCUCUUCCAACAGAAAAUUCACCACGCAAUUGCACAGGGACGAUUUCUCCACGUCCAUUUGAUCUUCAACUGUAAUUCAACAUUUCGUUUCAAACAAUGACAUCGGUGGAGGGAAGGACAAGUUACGGUGCGGUGCGAGAAACUGUAGAAAGGGCCGUCAAUCCACUGUUGUGAACAGUCACGUGAUUUGGCUUGAGAACCGUGGAUUAAUCUGUGAGAUCUCUAAAAAGAAAUAAAUUUAAAAAAAAAGAAUGCAGAAAUUUACGAGGAACCCAUGUGCGUUUCAUUAGAUCUGCUGCAGUUUCAGAUGUCAGCAGUCAACGUUUUCUCAAAAACAAAUUAAGAUUUUGGUCAUAUACAUUCUAAUCACUAAAUUAUACUAAUAUAUUUGUUUACUUUAAUUUAUGACUCCAUUAUGAUGAAUUAAAAUAAUUUGACAUAAUUAGGCAGGAAAGGUAGAGAUAGACCAAAGAAGUAUCGGGGUAAGGUGAUUAGGUAGGAAAUAGCGUUACAUCAGUUUAUACUUGACAGGAGGGGCGUGGAUGUCUAGAAUUAGGAUAUAAGGUUAGUAGUUAGUCGAGCAUUACAGUAAUACUAGUGUUAGCCAUGUAUUUUUUUAUUUUUUGUUUUCUAUUAAUGUAUGUUGAUCUUCUUAAUAUUGGUGUUGUUUCUUUUGCUUCGAUGUUUUACUAUCUUGUUGGUUUUAUUGCUUACUGUUAUUGCUUCUUUUUCAUUUUUACUUGAGUCAGGGGUCCAUCGGAAACAAAUUCUCUAUCUUCGUUAGGUAGGGAUAAAGACUACGUACACAUUACCUUCCCUAAAACACAUUUUUAGGAUUACAGGAUUUGUUAUUAUUGAUAUAAAUAUUAAGUGCCGAUAAAUUUUACCCAUUAAAGUUUCCUUUUACGCCCGCUGAUAAGGUUAUCUCAUUUUUGGCUCCAAAUAAAAUGGUAUGUGAAUAAUACAGAAACAAAUUUGUUACUAUUAGGGGAGGAGACUUCGGAAAAAGCUCUUAUUCUACUUUUAUGAUUACUAUUAGCAGGAAUUAUUAAAAGGUACAGGAUACUCCAAAGGAAACAUAAUUAUUGUGGGGGGUAUUUCUUAUUAUUUGCAAGGUACAAAGUUAAAGGAAAGUUCAGCAUGUAUAUAUUUCUAGUCCUCAUUCCUAAAAUCCUAUCCCCAAAUCUUAUCAUCCUCUUCCUAUCUUUUCUGUAGUUUCCAAGUGAAGCCAAUACCAUCAGAUAGACUACCUUUCCUAACUUUGGCUUAUAAAAUGGAACGGACAACCUUUUGUAUUUUAGUAUAUUGACAAGUAUUUUAUGUCACAAGAAUCUUAGUAGGUAAUAAACAGCUGAAAUUAAUAGGCCAGAACAUGCUUUACUUCAAUAUCGCUGAAUUAUAAUAAUCCUUCUUGAUUUAUCCUCUAGUCUGAGAAGGAAAAACACCAAGAAAUUAUAAAGGUCUCGAAUUACAUAAUGUAUGCAGCAGCCACCGAGAAUAAGCUAAAGUAAAUAUCUCAAUGGGACUGCUACUUUAAUAUUAAUUGAGGGAUACUCUCUUUUUAGCCAACUUUAGUUUUCUUUUUCAAUUUUUGAUAAAUACACGGUGAUAUACCUAUCAUUUUUUCUUUUUUGUGUUUUCUUUUGCCUUAAAUUCGGCAAGAAUGCCAUUAAUCAAGAUCAAAUGUAGUGUUGGGACAUUAAAGUGUAAAUCGAGCACGCCCUAUGUUCCACGAUCAAAUGUAGUGUUAGGACAUUGAAAUAUAAAAUUGAGUACUCCUCUGUUUCAUUUUAUGUUAUACCUUUUGUUUAGUCCGAUAAAAAAAGAAUGACACUUUUUUUAAUUUGAAAAUUCUUUGAUUUUAAAAUUUUCAUUUUAUUCUAAAUCAUAUGUUCUUAUUUAGCCAUAAAAAUGUGUAUUUUUGAUAUACACCAAAGUCUUUUUUUAGUUCUUAAUUUUAGAGUCCAAUCAAACACCGUCAUAUAAAAUAAUACGGAGGAAGGGGAAUUUUGGAGUAACGAUAAAGUUGUUUUUGUGUGAUCUAUAAGUCACAUGUUCGAGCCGUGGAGUCAGUCAUUGAUGAUUGUAUUAAGGUAGACUGUCUAUAUCACAUCCAUUUGGAGUGUGGCCCUUUCCGGAACGAUGCAUGAAACCGGACUGUCCUCUCAUAAAAUGAUGCGCAGGAAGUAUCUUCUUUAUCCAUAUGGUUUAGGAUCUAACGAUGUGGCCACUCAUGCACCUUAAUAUUUGAAUAGUAGCAAAUGCAUUUGUUCUGCCUUGAAACAUUGGUCCCCUGCUUCUUAAAUCUCGCCCAACUUCUUAUUUGUGGCAUCUGUUAAAAUUGUUGAGGGAAAUGGUCGUUUUUUUUUUCUUCAAUUUUUUUGAAGAAAUACUUUCAGCCAAACACCACUUGAAAAGCUGUUUAGUUUAGAAAUUUUGAAAAGGACUUCUGGAGUAGUUUUGAUAGCUCAAGAGUAUAUACGUACGUACCGUAGACAUCAAAAUUUUAACGGAUCAACUUAAAUACUAAAUUCAAGAUACUACAAGACGACUCUUGAAAUUUUAGGAGUCUAUUAGGAUUACUUGGAGGUUACUCUACCCUAACCCUAGGUCACUCUUAUAAAAAGGGUUACAUAUUCCCUUAAAGAAUAUCUUAAAAAAUGGAGAUCAUCUCAACAAUUACAACUCUCGGAAUAUGCACAAAGAGAUCAAAUAUACUAUCCAAAUAUGUCAUGCUGCAACAUGUCAAAUAUGUCUUACUCAAAGUUCUAGCAACAUUCAAGAUCCGAAUGGAGUGCUGCUACAUGCUUCUUGAUAAUCAAAUAGAUCGAGGAGAUGCAUAUCAUCCUACGUUCAAGGAAUACGCCGCUAAGGCCCUCAAAUUACGGAUAACAAAUCGGAAGAAAGAAUUAAGAAAUAAACAGAGUUGAACCCUCAAUAUUUAUCAAUAAAAUUAUUUUUUAUUUAUAAUUAUUUGUGAUUGCAAUUUUAUUGUUCUACACGAAUUUAUUGCAAACACGUACAUUAGUUAGCUAUAAAGAGACUUUCAAAUUAUGAGAAAUAAAAUUAUGUGGGCACGUAUCUAGUAAAGAAGAGUCAAUCAUCUUCCUGUGGACUUUUGACGUGCAGCAAGGCAAGGAUUACGUGACAAGACAAACACCACGACUAGAAAAACAAGAAAAGAAAAGAGAAAAAAAGAUUUGGGUAAAAGGGUUAUAAAAAGAAAAGAAGAAAAAAAGAUUUAAAAAAGUUAAUAUCAUUUCGUGCCAGUGGAUUGGUUGUUGGGAAAAGACAAGAUUCCUGCUUGUAACAGCAGCCAAUCAUCAACAGCUUUAUCCAUCUUCUUAUUUUUUCUUUUAUUUCAUGGGUUUUUUAUGGAGCUCAUAACACCUGUUCCAAACUGGCAAUUACAGCAUCUCACCUGAUAAACCAUUUUCUGAUGUCUUUUCCAUCAACUAUUUCCAGGUAAAACAUGCUCUGAUGUUACUCUCUCCUUGUUAUAUUGCAUAGCCAGAGCUUCAUCUAAGGUGGGAGUUCUCUGCUGAUGCAAAUUGUCGAGAAGUUGAAUAGGGAAGGACAAGAAUUCCAUGGAAGAGACCUUAGGGUCUGUUAAAGCAGCCAUUAAUUUGUACAAAGGAAAGGUUCUUGAAGGAAAAUCUGCACAGAACCAAUCCUCAAUUAUGAAGUCUUUAGAGGUAGACGACAUAUUUUCACCCAAUUUUCAUUCACCUUUCAGCAUCAUUUGAGUCUUUCUUGGUGAACUAACCUUAAUCUUGCAUAAUCUUAUCAGAAGCCAUAUCCAAGAACGAGCCAACUUCACAUAGCAAGAAGGGACAUGGGGCGACUCGGUGAGAGCAGAAAAGUUGCAGAGGCAGAAAAAUCCCAAGCAGAAUCUGAACUUUUGGACGCGAAAAAGAUGGUGAAAGAGCUAACUUCACGGAUAGAAGAGUUAAAUUCAAGACUAAAUGACAGGAAUAAAGACUUGGAGAAACUAAAGACGGCAAAAAGAGGAGGAAUUUGGGGUAUGGCUAUUAGCAACCCUCAGAAUUCCAAAGUAACAACAGAGUUGGGAAAUGCAAAAGAACAACUGAUUAAGCUUAAACAAGAUAUGGCUUCCAUGUUAGAGGAAAAAAGAAGAGCAGAGCAAGAAAUAGAAGCCUCUAGUUUGAAAAUGCAAUCUUUUUCAAGCAAAGUAGAUGCAUUAAGGAAGGAGGUUGAGGAACUUAACGAAGAGCUUGUGCUAGUUGAGUUGGCUCGAAUAGAGGCCAUUAAAGAAUUCAGAGCAAUUGAAGCUCAAAGAAGGGAAGACGCAGAGAAACAUUCAGCAGCAAUGGAGGAGAACAGGAAGAAAAUGAAUGACACGGUCCAAGAAAUUCAGAGAUCACAAGAGCUACAAGAAAAACUGGCCUUGACAACUUCAGAUGUCCAAGUUUUGGAAAGUGAAUUGAAGCAAGUAAAGGAAAUGGACAGAUGGAUUCAGAAAGACGAGAGCUUGAUUAUCCAACCUGAUUUCCUGGAAAAAGACUUAUCUUUGUUGCAGUCAUUGAAAGAAGACUUGGAGACAGCAAAGAAGGAAUUAGCUUCCGUUAAAAGAGGCAGCUUUGAGUUCAUGGCUUCAAUGGACAUCGUGAGGAAUGAGCUCGACCGCAUCUCUGAGGAAUCAGCUCGAUUAAAGAAAAAAGGAAACAAAGCCGACUUGACGAUUCAGAACCUGAACGCGAAGCUUCUGAGGGCAAAGGCUAAACUGGAAGCUGCAUCAGACAAUGAAGGAAAAGCAAGCUCUAUUGCUUCAAGUUUAUCCCUCACUCUAGAACAGUUGAGAAAUGAAACUGAAGAAGCUGAGAAAGAAAGGGUGACAGCAACUGAGGAAGCUGCAAAAGUGAAAGAAGAAAUUCAGAAAACAGAAUCUGAAACACUCUUGGCCGAGGAAAAAUGGGAAGCUGCACUACAAGAGCUUGAAACCAUCAAAUUAUCAGAAGCUACUGUCCUAAACAAUCUAAAGAGGCUUGUUGAGAUUACAAUGAAAAGUAGGGCAUCAGCUUCAAGGGGAAGCUCAAUAACUAUUUCAAGAUUUGAGUAUGAGUACUUAACGGGACGUGCAGCACAGGCAGUUGAAAUUGCUGAUAAAAAAGUAGCAGCAGCUCAGGCUUGGAUAAAAGCUUUGCAAGCCAGUGAAAAGGAGAUCUCACUGAAGACAGAGGUCACCAGAGAGGAAAUCCGAGAGCUUAAGAUGGAAGAAGAGCAAAAUGGCCCAAAAAUGGAGUAUUCACCUUCUGCAAAGAUAUUGGUUGAUAUGCAGUUGCAGAAAUGGGAGGAGAUAAAUGAAACAAACCUGGAACAAUCUCAGAACGGUUUACGUACAAACUCCACCUCAAUAAGUGGAAAAAUGACACCAGCAAGACGAGCUAAGUUCAGAAAGUCAACAUCUCCUGCACCUCGAACAUCUAGAGCGGCUUCCUUUGCGGUUAGGAGAAGAAGAAAGGUAAUGCCAAACAUAGCUAAGUUAUUUAAUAGCAAGAGCAAUGAAGAGAGCCUGUAAGCUAUAUUAUUGCAGCUGCAAAUAUUUGCCAAAGUUUUCUGAUGCAUGAGAUUAUGUCCCACUAAAUCCUUCUGUUUUUAGUCUCUGAAUGUCUUCUCUGAUGGAUGGCUUGUUCGUCCUGAUUUAGUCAGAGCGAUACUAAGGAGGACACUCUCAAGGAAAUUCACAUGAGAAGGCCCUUAGGGAAUUAGCUCCAAGACAGUGAAACUUCAGUCUUUACAUUGAAACCGACAUCACCCAAUUUUACUUGUUUUACUGUUGUUACCAUCAUUUGGACAAAAAUGCAGAUUUUAGUUUAAAUCCACCAGGGAAAGUUGUCGUUAUAUUGCAGCAAAGUUCCUCGAAGCCAGCAGUGUGGUCAGUGGUGCGCCAUUCGCAACCCUCUGAUAUUGCUUCAGUGAUCUUAAGAAGCCUGCUUCAACUUCUGAACCGUUUUAUAAAAGAUGAAUUUUGCAAGUAAACACUUUCUUUACUCAUACACCCUUGAAUAUAUGUCCUCUGUCAUAUAUGCCCUCUUGUUCUCGUGAUACACAGCACAGACAGUUAUCUCAAAAGGAGGAAUAUUUCACACACAACUCAACCAAACCAUGCUUCUGUGCAAUGACCUGCAUCUUGUCCAAAGGCAAGCCUUCAACAGCAGGGUGAGAAAACACCUAAUACAGGAGAAAGAGAGAUCCACAAGCAGACUCCCAUUUCCAGGGCAUGGAAACUAAGGUUUUAAACGUAACAGUUCAUCUCCUUGCCUGCUGGGGCUUGUAGAUGAGGAGUUAGUCGGCCUU